UCAGGUGGUUGGAUGGCUGCCCUUUCUUUGGUAACGAAUUAAGGGAGGAAAGUCCGGGCUUCAUGGAUAUACGGUGCCGGAUAACGUCCGGCGAGGGAAACCUUAGGGAAAGUGCCACAGAAAGCAAACCGCCAUCACUUUUUUGAUGGCAAGGGUGAAAGGGUGCGGUAAGAGCGCACCGCCGAUUUGGCAACACGUCGGGCAUGGUAAACCCCACCGGAAGCAAGACCGAAUAGGAACGGACGGCAGAUUUAACGGGCUGCAAGCGCAUAUUCAAGCUACCGUUCGGGUGUGUCGCGUGAGGCGUUUGGCAACAAACGUCCCAGACGAAUAGCCAUCUAUCCUGUUUUACAGGGGGACAGAACCCGGCUUACAGACCACCUGACCUU
rnacentral:RNase_P_RNA from 1 species